rnacentral:pre_miRNA from 1 species
AAAAGGAUACGCGUCCCCUCUAGUGAUCUCAAUAUUUUCCGGUAAUCAACUAAUUAUUCUCCCGUAAUCCAUUGAUUACCGGAGAUUAAUGAGAUCACUAGAAGGGACGCGUAUCCUUUU